AGUCGAACGGAAAGGCCCUUCGGGGUGCUCGAGUGGCGAACGGGUGAGUAACACGUGGGUGAUCUGCCCUGCACUUUGGGAUAAGCCUGGGAAACUGGGUCUAAUACCGAAUAGGACUCCGGCCUUCAUGGGUUGGGGUGGAAAGCUUUUGCGGUGUGGGAUGGGCCCGCGGCCUAUCAGCUUGUUGGUGGGGUAAUGGCCUACCAAGGCGACGACGGGUAGCCGGCCUGAGAGGGUGACCGGCCACACUGGGACUGAGAUACGGCCCAGACUCCUACGGGAGGCAGCAGUGGGGAAUAUUGCACAAUGGGCGCAAGCCUGAUGCAGCGACGCCGCGUGAGGGAUGACGGCCUUCGGGUUGUAAACCUCUUUCAGCACAGACGAAGCGCGAGUGACGGUAUGUGCAGAAGAAGGACCGGCCAACUACGUGCCAGCAGCCGCGGUAAUACGUAGGGUCCGAGCGUUGUCCGGAAUUACUGGGCGUAAAGAGCUCGUAGGUGGUUUGUCGCGUUGUUCGUGAAAACUCACAGCUUAACUGUGGGCGUGCGGGCGAUACGGGCAGACUAGAGUACUGCAGGGGAGACUGGAAUUCCUGGUGUAGCGGUGGAAUGCGCAGAUAUCAGGAGGAACACCGGUGGCGAAGGCGGGUCUCUGGGCAGUAACUGACGCUGAGGAGCGAAAGCGUGGGGAGCGAACAGGAUUAGAUACCCUGGUAGUCCACGCCGUAAACGGUGGGUACUAGGUGUGGGUUUCCUUCCUUGGGAUCCGUGCCGUAGCUAACGCAUUAAGUACCCCGCCUGGGGAGUACGGCCGCAAGGCUAAAACUCAAAGGAAUUGACGGGGGCCCGCACAAGCGGCGGAGCAUGUGGAUUAAUUCGAUGCAACGCGAAAGAACCCUUACCUGGGUUUGACAUGCACAGGACGACUGCAGAAGAUGUGGUUUCCCUUGUGGCCCUGUGUGCAGGUGGUGCAUGGCUGUCGUCAGCUCGUGUCGUGAGAAUGUUGGGUUAAGUCCCGCAACGAGCGCAACCCUUGUCCUAUGUUGCCAGCGGUAUGCCGGGACCUCGUAGAGAACUGCCGGG
rnacentral:rRNA from 1 species